ensembl:misc_RNA Y_RNA Y RNA
GGCUGGUCCGAAGGUAGUGAGUUAUCUCAAUUGAUUGUUCACAGUCAGUUACAGAUUGAACUCCUUGUUCUACACUUUCCCCCCUUCUCACUACUGCACUUGACUAGUCUUUU